CCUACGGGUGGCAGCAGUGAGGAAUAUUGGUCAAUGGGCGCGAGCCUGAACCAGCCAAGUAGCGUGAAGGAUGACUGCCCUACGGGUUGUAAACUUCUUUUAUAAAGGAAUAAAGUGAGGCACGUGUGCCUUUUUGUAUUUACUUUAUGAAUAAGGAUCGGCUAACUCCGUGCCAGCAGCCGCGGUAAUACUGAGGAUCCGAGCGUUAUCCGGAUUUAUUGGGUUUAAAGGGAGCGUAGAUUGGUUGUUAAGUCAGUUGUGAAAGUUUGCGGCUCAAACGUAAAAUUGCAAUUGAUACUGGCAGUCUUGAGUACAGGUGAGGUGAGCGGAAUUCGUGGUGUAGCAGUGAAAUGCUUAGAUAUCACGAAGAACUCCGAUUGCGAAGGCAGCUUACUAAACUGCCACUGACAUUGAUGCUCGAAAGUGUGGGUAUCAAACAGGAGUAGAUACCCUAGUAGUC
rnacentral:rRNA from 1 species